GGGGACAGGGACGCAUCUGUGGGGUCGGACCCCGCCGCCCUUCGGGUUCGGCGCUGUGGGGCAGCGCAGCUCCGCCAUGGGGCGGAGAUUCCGGUACGGGCGGGGCGGCCGCUCCGGUGCCGCUCCGGUGCCGCUCCGUCCUGAGCGCGGUGCCGCUCCCGCUCCCGGUCCCGGUGCCGGUGUCACCCCCCGUUGUCACCCCCGUUGUCACCCCCGGUGCCCCCCGCCAUGGCCCACCCCCAGGCAGCGCUGGCCCGGUGUCACCCGCGAGGCGGAGGAGGUGAAGGAGCUGAUGAAGCAGAACAUGGCCAAAGCCUGGGAGCGGGACGGGAAAGCUGGAGGAGCUGGGGGGGGAGAGCGGAGGAGCUGAGCGCCAUGAGCUCCACCUUCCGGCGCAGCACCAGGGCGGUGCGGAAGCAGCAGCGCCCCCAGCGGCGGUGCGGGGGAAGCGCAACGCGGUGGGCGGCGCUGGGGGGCGGGGGCCGCGGUGCUGCUGCUGCUGCUGGGGCUGGGAUUGGGGCUGGGGCUGCGGAGGGGCGGCGGGGCGGAAGCGGAGCGGCCCACGGGGGAACCGGGAAGCGGGAG